CUAAACUGAGGAAAGUCGACCGAUACUGAUCGGCUAGAGGGGCGUAGAGGUAAGCGGAACUCUCGGAGUAGCGGUGAAAUGCGUAGAGACCGAGAGGUACCCCGAUGGUGAAGACAGCUUACUGGGCGUCUCCUGACGCUGAAGCGCUAAGGCCAGGGGAGCGAAGGGGAUUAGAUACCCCCGUAGUCCUGGCUUCAAACGAUGUGGGCUUGGUGUCGACUCCCGAUAGAGAGUCGUUGCCGGAGCUAACGUGUUAAGCCCACCGCCUGGGGAUUACGUCCGCAAGGAUGAAACUCAAGGGAAUUGACGGGGGCCCACACAACCGGUGGAGCACGUGGUUUAAUUCGAUGAUAAGCGAAGAACCUUACCAGGGCUUGACCUAGCGGUGGUAGGAUCCUGAAAAGGAAACGACCUCAAGCUUUGCUUGAGGAGCC
rnacentral:rRNA from 1 species